CCUUAAGUGGCCACUCCUCAGAUGGCUGCUAGAGAUGCUGUGUUUGGUUUGUGCUGACACUGCCCCUGAUCUGCCUCCUUGACAAGCUAGUCAGUCCAAUGUUUUACUAUGGGAAUGCAUUGAUUGGCUCAGAUCACCACUUCUGUCAGUCAAGAAGUCAGAUAAGUGUCAUAGGCAGUAGGCUGGAAUAAAAGUAAGAUAUUGAGGACGGGGGGAAUGGUGUUUUUAACACCAUAGGGUCAGAAAUACGUGUUUAACUACAAAUUCAUGCUACACUUCUACAGAACAUCCCGCUACCUUGCUAAACAAUCAUACUCUUCCCCAUAAUCCUACUCAUACUCCAUCGCAGGUGUCUGAUACUUUCAACUCUCUGCUUCACCCUACUGCACCUCCCCUGCCACCCACCCAUCCCUCUUUCAACCUGACUAAGGCAGUUGCUCUCCAACCCUUCAUGCAUUUCCCCAGUUACAGAGUUGGUGUCUAAAGGAAUCUACUUUCGUCUUGCUCCACCACUUAUUCCCUGUCACAUUAUCAGAUCUCUCUCCCCUUGCGUUGUGUUAAGGAUGGCACAUCGUGAAACUCUUC